rnacentral:pre_miRNA from 1 species
CCAUUUCGGCCGGAGACUUCAACGCUCGCGCAAGCGACGAGCGCCUCCGGGCGAUGAAA